rnacentral:rRNA from 1 species
CCUACGGGUGGCUGCAGUCGAGAAUCUUCCGCAAUGGGCGAAAGCCUGACGGAGCGACGCCGCGUGGAGGAUGAAGGCCUUCGGGUUGUAAACUCCUGUCACUCGUUAUGAAACCCAACGCGUUAAUUGCGCGUUGGCUGACCAAGGCGAGAGAGGAAGCACCGGCUAACCCUGUGCCAGCAGCCGCGGUAAGACAGGGGGUGCAAACGUUGCUCGGAAUCACUGGGCGUAAAGCGCACGUAGGCGGUCUUGUAAGUCAGAUGUGAAAGCCCUCG